rnacentral:rRNA from 1 species
AACGUAGGAGGCAAGCGUUAUCCGGAUUUACUGGGCGUAAAGCGCAUGCAGGCGGUUCGUUAAGUUGGGCAUGAAAUCUCUCGGCUUAACCGGGAGGGGUUGUCCAAUACUGGCGGACUUGAGGGCAGGAGAGGGAAGCGGAAUUCCAGGUGUAGCGGUAAUAUGCGCAGAUAUCUGGAGGAACACCAGUGGCGAAGGCGGCUUUCUGGCCUGUACCUGACGCUAAGAUGCGAAAGCCAGGGGAGCGAACGGG